rnacentral:rRNA from 1 species
AGAGUUUGAUCAUGGCUCAGGAUGAACGCUGGCGGAGUGCCUAAUACAUGCAAGUCGAGCGGCAGCACGAGUAGUUUACUACUUGGUGGCGAGCGGCGGACGGCUGAGUAACGCGUGGGAACGUGCCCCAAAGUGAGGAAUAAGCUCCAGAAAUGGAGUCUAAUGCCGCAUAUGAUCUUCGGAUUAAAGCUUUCGAGCGCUUUGGGAGCGGCCCGCGUCCGAUUAGAUAGUUGGUGAGGUAAAGGCUCACCAAGUCUACGAUCGGUAACUGGUCUGAGAGGAUGAUCAGUCAGACUGGAACUGAGACACGGUCCAGACUCCUACGGGAGGCAGCAGUAAGGAAUCUUCCACAAUGGACGAAAGUCUGAUGGAGCAACUCCGCGUGCAGGAUGAAGGCCCUCGGGUCGUAAACUGCUUUUAUGAGUGAAGAAUAUGACGGUAACUCAUGAAUAAGGGUCGGCUAACUACGUGCCAGCAGCCGCGGUCAUACGUAGGACCCAAGCGUUAUCCGGAGUGACUGGGCGUAAAGAGUUGCGUAGGUGGUUAGUAAAGUGAAUAGUGAAACCUGGUGGCUCAACCAUACAGACUAUUAUUCAAACUCACUAACUCGAGAGUAGCAGAGGUAACUGGAAUUUCUUGUGUAGGAGUGAAAUCCGUAGAUAUAAGAAGGAACACCAAUGGCGUAGGCAGGUUACUGGGCUAUUUCUGACACUGAGGCACGAAAGCGUGGGGAGCGAACCGGAUUAGAUACCCUAGUAGUCC